rnacentral:rRNA from 1 species
CCUACGGGUGGCAGCAGUGGGGGAUAUUGCACAAUGGGGGAAACCCUGAUGCAGCGACGCCGCGUGAGUGAAGAAGUAUUUCGGUAUGUAAAGCUCUAUCAGCAGGGAAGAAAAUGACAGUACCUGACCAAGAAGCCCCGGCUAACUACGUGCCAGGAGCCGAGGUAAUACAUAAGGGGCAAGCGUUAUCCGGAUUUAAUUGGUGGUAAGGGGGCGUAGACUGUUAUGUAAGUUUGGAGUGAAAGUCCGUGGCCGAACCCCGGGACAGCUGUGGAAACUGGUGAACUGGAGGAAAGGAGGGGCAGGCGGAAUUCCUGGUGUAGCGGUGAAAUGCGUAGAUAUCAGGAGGAACACCGGCGGCGAAGGCGGCCUGCUGGACUGAAACUGACGUUGAGGCUCGAAAGCGUGGGGAGCAAACAGGAUUAGAUACCCGGGUAGUC